rnacentral:tRNA from 1 species
CCUUUCGUAGCUUAGUUGUCAGAGCGUUGUUUCGUAAAGCCAAAGGCCCGGGGUUCGAUUCCCGGCGCGGGUG